GAGGAAAACAGGAAUAACGGUUUGGUUAAGGUUUUUCCUGCAUUCCAUUAUCAAGGAAAGCUCUUCAAGGCAUCGUGUUGAAGAAGCAUAGUUCCUCGAGAAUAUGAUAAUUGCGCAUCUUGAUUCCUUGAUUCCUUUCAUGACCGCAGCAGAGAUCUGGUCUCCUCUUUUCGAGAUCUCUGCUUGGUCAUUGAAUGUUUUGAUGUUGGCCCUCUCCAGGGAAGUGUAGAGCUUACUUGCCAAACUGUGCCAUGUUUCUUCUUCUUCUUCUUUGUAACUCAAUAUUACAUCGUAAUUCCAUCUAGAGGAGGAAGAGGAUGACGUGCGGGAUUCCAUCAAUCUAAAGCAAAGUUGCAAAACUAAUUUGAUCCGAAAAGAUUUUCAACUCUGAAGUCUGAAGUGAGAUGGAUCACAGAAUUCUCUUCUGUAGGGCCGCAUAGAGGUCAUGUGUGAAACUGUGUCGUGUGUCUUCUCCUCUGAAACUCAAGAAUACAUUCCAUCGAAAAGUGGAUGAUGAGAUGGCCAUCAAUCUGAAGCGGAGUUGCAGAACUUAAUUAAUUUGCUGUGAAAAAUGUGUGAAAGUUGAAUUGGAGAGGAUGGGAGAAAGCCGGUACUAUAUCACAUAUUUCAAAAGUAGAACUCAGUAUUCCCAA